UAAUACGGAGGGUGCUAGCGUUGUUCGGAAUUACUGGGCGUAAAGCGCGUGUAGGCGGCUUGACAAGUCGGAUGUGAAAUCCCCGGGCUCAACCCUGGAACUGCAUCCGAAACUAUCUGGCUAGAGUCCUGGAGAGGAAGGCAGAAUUCCCGGUGUAGGGGUGAAAUCCGUAGAUACCGGGAGGAAUACCAGUAGCGAAGGCGGCCUUCUGGACAGUGACUGACGCUCAGACGCGAAAGCGUGGGGAGCAAACAGGAUUAGAUACCCUGGUAGUCCACGCUGUAAACGUUGUGCACUAGGUGUCGGGGGUAUUCACCCCUCCGGUGCCGUAGCUAACGUCUUAAGUGCACCGCCUGGGGAGUACGGCCGCAAGGCUA
rnacentral:rRNA from 1 species